rnacentral:tRNA from 3 species
GGCGACGUGGCCGAGUGGUUUAGGCAAGGGCCUGCAAAGCCCUGUACCUGGGUUCGAUUCCCAGCGUCGCCUCCA